rnacentral:rRNA from 1 species
AACGAUGGACACUAGGUGUGGGAGGUAACGACGCCCUUCGUGCGGGAGUUAACACAAUAAGUAUCCAACCUGGGGAGUACGGCCGCAAGGUUGAAACUCAAAGGAAUUGACGGGGGCCCGCACAAGCAGUGGAGUAUGUGGUUUAAUUCGAAGCAACGCGAAGAACCUUACCAGGGCUUGACAUACUGAUGGAUGCGCAAGAGAUUGAGCCAGCCUUCGGGGCAUCAGUACAGGUGGUGCAUGGUUGUCGUCAGCUCGUGUCGUGAGAUGUUGGGUUAAGUCCCGCAACGAGCGCAACCCUUGUCGUUAGUUGACAGCACAUAGAGGUGGUCACUCUAGCGAGACUGCCGGUGACAAAUCGGAGGAAGGUGGGGAUGACGUCAAAUCAUCAUGCCCCUUAUGUCCUGGGCUACACACGUACUACAAUGGCUACUACAGAGGGAAGCGAAGCUGAGAAGCGGAGCAAAUCCCAGAAAAGUAGUCUCAGUUCAGAUUGUGGGCUGCAACUCGCCCACAUGAAGUCGGAAUUGCUAGUAAUGGCAGGUCAGCAUACUGCCGUGAAUACGUUCCCGGGCCUUGUACACACCGCCCGUCACACCAUGAGAGUUGGCAACACCCGAAGUCAGUAGUCUAACCGCGAGGGGGACGCUGCCGAAGGUGGGGCUGAUGAUUGGGGUGAAGUCGUAACAAGGUAA